GACGAACGCUGGCGGCGUGCCUAAUACAUGCAAGUUGAGCGCUGAAGGUUGGUACUUGUACCAACUGGAUGAGCAGCGAACGGGUGAGUAACGCGUGGGGAAUCUGCCUUUGAGCGGGGGACAACAUUUGGAAACGAAUGCUAAUACCGCAUAAAAACUUUAAACACAAGUUUUAAGUUUGAAAGAUGCAAUUGCAUCACUCAAAGAUGAUCCCGCGUUGUAUUAGCUAGUUGGUGAGGUAAAGGCUCACCAAGGCGAUGAUACAUAGCCGACCUGAGAGGGUGAUCGGCCACAUUGGGACUGAGACACGGCCCAAACUCCUACGGGAGGCAGCAGGAGGGAAUCUUCGGCAAUGGACGAAAGUCUGACCGAGCAACGCCGCGUGAGUGAAGAAGGGUUUCGGAUCGUAAAACUCUGUUGGUAGAGAAGAACGUUGGUGGGAGUGGAAAGCUCAUCAAGUGACGGUAACUACCCAGAAAGGGACGGCUAACUACGUG
rnacentral:rRNA from 1 species